rnacentral:rRNA from 1 species
UACGUAGGUGGCAAGCGUUGUCCGGAAUUAUUGGGCGUAAAGCGCGCGCAGGCGGUCCUUUAAGUCUGAUGUGAAAGCCCACGGCUCAACCGUGGAGGGUCAUUGGAAACUGGGGGACUUGAGUGCAGGAGCGAAGAGUGGAAUUCCACGUGUAGCGGUGAAAUGCGUAGAUAUCUGCAGGAACACCCGUGGCGAAGGCGGGUCUCUGGGCCGAUACUGACGCUGAGGAGCGAAAGCGUGGGGAGCGAACAGG